ACCCGCUGAACUUAAGCAUAUCAAUAAGCGGAGGAAAAGAAACUAACAAGGAUUCCCCUAGUAACUGCGAGUGAAGCGGGAAAAGCUCAAAUUUAAAAUCUGGUGGUCUUUGGCCAUCCGAGUUGUAAUCUAGAGAAGUGUUACCCGCGUCGGACCGUGUACAAGUCUCCUGGAAUGGAGCGUCAUAGAGGGUGAGAAUCCCGUCUUUGACACGGACUACCGAGGCUUUGUGGUGCGCUCUCAAAGAGUCGAGUUGUUUGGGAAUGCAGCUCAAAAUGGGUGGUAAAUUCCAUCUAAAGCUAAAUAUAGGCGAGAGACCGAUAGCGAACAAGUACCGUGAGGGAAAGAUGAAAAGAACUUUGGAAAGAGAGUUAAACAGUACGUGAAAUUGCUGAAAGGGAAACGCUUGAAGUCAGUCGCGUUGGCCGGAAAUCAGCCUUGGUUCUCCAUGGUGUAUUUUCUGGUUGACGGGCCAGCAUCAGUUUUGACCGGUGGAAAAAGUUGGAGGGAAUGUGGCAUCUUCGGAUGUGUUAUAGCCCUUCUUCGUAUGCAUCGGUUGGGACUGAGGAACUCAGCACGCCGCAAGGCCGGGAUUCGUCCACGUUCGUGCUUAGGAUGCUGGCAUAAUGGCUUU
rnacentral:rRNA from 1 species